AAAAAUUUUGCGGAUCCCUGAGUUAUACCAAUAACUACUCAAUGGAGAGACCCCUGUGACCUCCUGAGGCAUGGGAAAAUACCAGAACAGGACACGGGUCACUCAACAGCAGGCAGGGGACUGACCAGCCGGAUCCAGAAAGCCUCCGGGGGAGGUCAGUCUGGCUCCCCUGUGUCCCCCUCUCUCCGCCCCUGGAUCCUGUGAAGCAUCCCCCACACGGAUUCCAGUGUCUGCCACUCAGCACCUUAAAAGGAAGAUCUGGGCCUCUUUGCACAGACAGGAAGCGGACCAGUGUUUGAGAAGGGCAGGGCAUCCUUUGUGGCUGAAUCCCGACCUCGCAGUUUUAGAGGUACUGCGCUCCUGCAGUCCUGAAACUCAGCCCCAGCGCCCAGCCUGUGAGCCUGUCCCCACGCUCCAGUCUGGACCCUGCGCUGUGGCCCUUCGCCCUUCCAGUGUGAAUGCCGUGCCUCCGCGUCCUCCUCGGGAGUCACUCAGAUUUAUAUGUAAAUGUGUGUUCCUGGGAGUGGAGUGGCUGGCGGGCACUAGCUUCCCUUCAGCAGAUCCUGCCAAGCUCUUUUCCGAGCGACCCACCAUGUUCACCCCGACCCUGUGUGACUCUUCCGUCGCCACGAAGGAGCUACGGUGCUGAGUCACUUCUGUUCCGUUCUGCUUGUUAGAAGCAAGUCACAAGUCCAGCUUGGGCUCCAGGGAAGGGAGCAGAGCUGUUCAACUUGGAAAGAGGAGCACGUUGGACGUGUUUGAAACUGCCACAGCCAUGUAUCUUGUGGACAGUGGACCUCCGUCUGCAAGGUCUUCCGCCUGGGCACUGGCAUCUGCUCUCUGAUCUCACACAGGACUGGAGCUUUCUGUGCUAGACGUCAUCUCUGCUGACACGUGAAGCAAACACCAGAGCACUCUCUCGGGGACCUCUCCAGUGGGGACUUCCGGGUGGGCGACUUUUGACGCAAGCAGAGACCCCAGCCCUGAGUAGGCUCCGUUGCGGGGAGCUCUGGAGAUUCUCUUUGUGAAGCUCUUACCCUGGCCGGGCAAUUUGCACGUUUUCCCUCGUUCAUCACUGAAGCUGCCCCUGGGGUGGGGAGGCAUUGUCAUUGCCACCAAAGAAACUGGAAGAUGGCUCAGCCCAGCUCACACAGUCUUUGCGAUGCCAGAGCUGUGUUCACUCCCGAGCAUCAGUUCCCACAUGCAGAAGGGCUCUGUUAAGGGGAAUCUCACAGAAGACCUGCACUUGUUGAUUUAAAGUAGCUGUGUCACAGUGCACUUCUGGAUCCCUCCGGUGGGUUGGGAGGGCACAGGCCGCACGGGGACCACUCUGAGUUUCUGCUGAGGACUUCUGCAUUUGUGUAGGCCUUGUGACACAGUCUUUCCCACCUCAUUGUAAUGAGGGUUCACACCAGACCUUACACUCGCUCAAGUCAGAACCUCUGUAAUCCUCUCCAGUCACAAAGAAACUGAGUACCACCAGGAGAAUACCCGUUAUCCCAGUUACUCAGCUACUAGGGAGGCUGAGGCAGGAGGAUGGCAAGUUUGAG